GAUGAACGCUGGCGGCGUGCUUAACACAUGCAAGUCGAACGAAGAUGCCGGAGUGCUUGCACUUUGGCAGACUGAGUGGCGGACGGGUGAGUAACGCGUGGGUAACCUGCCUUAUACAGGGGGAUAACAGUUGGAAACGACUGCUAAUACCGCAUAAGCGCACGGUAUCGCAUGAUACAGUGUGAAAAACUCCGGUGGUAUAAGAUGGACCCGCGUCUGAUUAGCUAGUUGGCGAGGUAACGGCCCACCAAGGCAACGAUCAGUAGCCGGCCUGAGAGGGCGAAACGGCCACAUUUGGGGAACCCUUU
rnacentral:rRNA from 1 species